rnacentral:rRNA from 1 species
AUUGAACGCUGGCGGCAGGCCUAACACAUGCAAGUCGAGCGGCAGCGGGAAAGUAGCUUGCUACUUUUGCCGGCGAGCGGCGGACGGGUAAGUAAUGCCUGGGAAAUUGCCCAGUCGAGGGGGAUAACAGUUGGAAACGACUGCUAAUACCGCAUACGCCCUACGGGGGAAAGCAGGGGACCUUCGGGCCUUGCGCGAGUGGAUAUGCCCAGGUGGGAUUAGCUAGUUGGUGAGGUAAUGGCUCACCAAGGCGACGAUCCCUAGCUGGUCUGAGAGGAUGAUCAGCCACACUGGAACUGAGACACGGUCCAGACUCCUACGGGAGGCAGCAGUGGGGAAUAUUGCACAAUGGGGGAAACCCUGAUGCAGCCAUGCCGCGUGUGUGAAGAAGGCCUUCGGGUUGUAAAGCACUUUCAGCGAGGAGGAAAGGUUGAUGCCUAAUACGUAUCAACUGUGACGUUACUCGCAGAAGAAGCACCGGCUAACUCCGUGCCAGCAGCCGCCGUAAGAC